AUACUGUUCUAAGACAUUACCAACAAUUUCCAUGACAUAAAUAUUGGGUUCCUUCCUCAUUUCAAUAAAGAACGAAACAAAAUGUAUGUAAUAAUAUAAAGUAACUUUUAUUCAAACAUAUAACACAAUUAUACCCAACCAUAUGAUAUAGUAUUUUAUUUUCAUUGAUCGAUGCCUAUUUAAGUACAGGAUCCUUAUUCAUAUAGUGAUAACAUGAUUUAAACACAGAUCUAUUUCUGAUAUCUACACACAUUUCUUUCAUUCCCUUUUAACGACACAAAGGUCAUUCAUGAACCAAUGAUCUCAGUUUUCCUUUUUCUUUAUUCACAGAUUGGUUUUACUCCGAAUUAACCAGUCAAUGUCACAAGGUCCCUGUUAACCAGUCAAUGUGACAAGGUCCCUGCUAACCAGUCAAUGUGACAAGGUCCCUGCUAACCAGUCAAUGUGACAAGGUCCCUGCUAACCAGUCAAUGUGACAAGAUCCCUGUUAACCAGUCAAUGUGACAAGAUCCCUGCUAACCAGUCAAUAAGACAGGAUCCCUGUUAACCAGUCAAUGUGACAAGGUCCCUGCUAACCAGUCAAUGUGACAAGGUCCCUGUUAACCAGUCAAUGUGACAAGGUCCCUGCCAACCAGUCAAUGUGACAAGAUCUCUGCUAACCAGUCAAUGAGACAGGAUCGUGGCUAACCAGUCAAUGUGACAAGAUUCCUGCUAACCAGUCAAUGAGACAGGAUCGUGGCUAACCAGUCAAUGUGACAAGAUCCCUGCUAACCAGUCAAUGUGACAAGAUCCCUGUUAACCAGUCAAUGUGACAAGGUCCCUGCUAACCAGUCAAUAAGACAGGAUCCCUGUUAACCAGUCAAUGUGACAAGGUCAUGGCCAACCAGUCAAUGUGACAAGGUCAUGGCCAUUCAGCCCAUUUGUGUUCAAUAAAUGACCAUUCAUGAACAUUACAACAGAUACAGCUAUUGAUAUGACUAAAUCUCCUUCCAUUUCUAAAUUCACAACAGCAGGUUUGUGUUUGAACUGCCUGUCGCAUUAAUAACAUUGGAAGGGCCUCAUAGUCAUGUACUGUGCUCAAACAAAAACACAUCCUUUCACAGAUUUGACGUUCACAUGGGGAAUCUUACAGACUAAGGUUGUGAUUAUGGUGUUAGCUAAGCCCAUGUUAGAUGUAACUAGAAAAUAAAAUCCUCUUAGUGACUAUUGUAUAAAUCUUUUUAACAAUUUAUUGGAGACAAAUCUAUAUGGGCUAAUCAACACAGGUUUCUUACCGGGAAACAGAUGUUUCAUUUUCUGAUGCUUGAUAAAGAGGUAUUUGGAUGGGAAGGACACAAUACAAUCUGCUCAGUGGAAGCAAGUCGGAGUACCAGGUGUCAUUAAAUCAUAAUCUCCCAAAGGCUGUACAGGCUUCACAAUAAGCCAAAUGAUCACCCUUGGAAAA